rnacentral:lncRNA from 1 species
CUCCUGCGGCAGUCGCAGCGUCUCGUUUCAUAAUCUAACAUACUGAGAGAUGACAACGUGCUAGCAGCCCUUGCUCGCUCUCAGCGCCUCCUCCGCCUCGGCGUCCGCUCUGGCCGCACUCGAGGAGGCCCUUCAGCCCGCCACUGCGCUAUGAGGGCCCCUCUCUGGGGCUGGCCGAGGCCUGAGCCGGCUCCCUCUGCUCUCGCGGAAGUGUGAAGAGAGAGGCGCUGCAAGAGCCAGGGGUGCGCGCGGCGCUCGCGGGUCGGCGCGAGUUCCAGGUGAGCGCGGGCUCGGCAAGCCCCGCACUCGGCGCGACCGGCUGGCGCCUGCUGGGUUUGAUCGGGGGGACGAGUUCCCUCUGGGCUGCCAGAGUGCCCGGGCUACGUGCCGCAAAGUCCCGCAGCGGUGAGUGCCAUUGAGAGGUGAAGCUGGCUGGGCUUCUGGGUGGGGUGGGGACUUGAGAACUUUUCUGUCUAGCUAAAGGAUUGUAAAUGCACCAAUCAGCACUCUGUGUCUGCCUAAAGGUUUGUAAACGCACCAAUCAGCACUCUGUCAAAACGGACCAAUCAGCGCUCUGUAAAGCGGACCAAUCAGCUCUCUGUAAAAUGGACCAAUCAACAGGAUGUGGGUGGGGCCAAAUAAAGGAAUAAAAGCAGGCCACCGCUAGUAGCAGCAAUCGGCUCGGUCCACUUUUAGGUAGUAGAGGUUUUGUUCUUUUGCUCUUCGCAAUAAAUCUUACUGCUGUUCAGUCUUUGGGUCUGCUGCUGUGUUUAAGCUGUAACAUUCACUGGGAAGGUCUGUAGCUUCACUCCGGGAGCCAGGGGGGCUACAAACCCACCAGAAAGAAUAAACUCCAGACACAUCUGAACAUAGGAAAGAAAAGACUCCGGACACACAGUGUGUAAGAACUGUAAUAUUCACUGUGAGGGUCCAGGGCCUCAAGACCAAGAACCCAACAAUUCCGGAUACAAUACUAUGAUAGUUAUAUAAUUAUCAUGCAACUCUUUUCUGUUCGUUUAUUUGAGACAGAGUCUCCGUCUGUUGCCAAGGCUGGAGUGCAGUGGUGCGAUCCCGGCUCACUGCAACCCCCCGCCCCCCCGGUUCAAGGGAUUCACUUGUUUCAGCCUCCCCGAGUAGCUGGGAUUAGGGGUGCACGCCACCACGCCCAGCUGCUUUUUUUUUCAGGACCUCAGGUGAUCUGCCCACCUCAGGCUCCCAAAGUGCUGGGAUUACAGUUGUGAGCCACUGCACCCAGCCACUAAUAUUAUUUUUAAUAACAGUACCUAGAUAAUUG